rnacentral:rRNA from 1 species
AUGGAUAAAAAAAGAGAGAAAAAAAUCAAACAUGGAACACACACGAUAGCUAGCCGGUGGUCUUGUGGUAGAAUGUAUGGCGCCGGAGGGCUAGCCGGCGUAGACGUGGACGCCGACGGCGACCAUGAAGAUGGCGCAGAAGGCGAAGAAGAUGACGGUGUGGACGAACAUGGCGAUGCCGUUGGUCUUCAUGCUGUGGAACUCGGGCCGGCCGCGCCCCCCGCCGCCGGGGAUCUCGCAGAUGAGCCCCGGCAGCAUCACCACGAAGAAGGCCGUCGCGAUCAGCACCGGGCCCCAGUCGCCCGACAUGGAGACGAUCCGAUCAACGGUGAGCGCCGCCCCUCUCUCCUCAAGAACUCUGUCUUACACUCUUACUAA